rnacentral:lncRNA from 1 species
AACAUCAAAGAAUGUUGCAAUUGAAGAUGAUGCACCUCAUCCCUACAUAAUAGAUGCUUUCAAGCCUAUUUCAUCUUAUCAAUAGGAGUAUUUUUUUUGCAAGUAACCGACUCCCAAGUCCUACACUUUCAAGGAGGAUAAUGAUAAAGAUAAUGCUCAGGAUGAAGUCACUAGUUUUUUAGCUAAUAGUCAGAUUCAGGUUGCUACCAACAGUGUUACUUGUCC